rnacentral:rRNA from 1 species
CCUACGGGAUGCAGCAGUGGGGGAUAUUGCACAAUGGGGGAAACCCUGAUGCAGCGACGCCGCGUGGGCGAAGAAGGAUUUCUGUAUGGAAAGCCCUAUCAGCAGGGAAGAAGAAAUGAAGGUACGUGAGUAAGAAGAACCGGCUAAAUACGUGCCAGCAGCCGCGGUAAUACGGAUGGUGCAGGCGUUAUCCGGAUUUACUGGGUGUAAAGGGAGCGCAGGCGGGACGGAAAGCCUGAUGUGCAAGCCCGCGGCCCACCCGCGGGACUGCCUUGGCAACUCCCGGGCUGGAGUGCCGGAGAGGUAGGCGGAAUUCCUAGUGUAGCGGUGACCUGCUUAGAUAUUAGGCGGCACCCCAGUGGCGCAGGCGGCCUACUGGACGGUGCCUGACGCUGAGGCUCGAAAGCGUGGGGAGCAAACAGGAUUAGAUACCCCGGUAGUC